CCAUCAUGCUGACUACCGACUAAAGGAUUAAAACCAUCAUCAUUAAAACUAUUUUCUGAACCGCAAAGAUUGCAAGUCCAUUUACUACUUGCCAUCGUGAAUUGGAUAAAAGGAUUGAUGUAGCCACGACAUUUUUUGCAACGUGGGGGAUUUGAAUUUGUGUUAUCUACAACGGGUACGGGUGCUUCAUCAGGACGUAACUCUGCGAACGGUUGAACAAUCAUUCCCAAGGGGAUUCCGGAAGCAUUGCAAACAUCAUUGGUAGCUGGAAUCGCGUAACUGGUAAACUGAACGAAUUUGGAAGAUGAAU